GGGUUGUGAGGUUAAGCGACUAAGCGUACACGGUGGAUGCCCUGGCAGUCAGAGGCGAUGAAGGACGUGCUAAUCUGCGAAAAGCGUCGGUAAGGUGAUAUGAACCGUUAUAACCGGCGAUGUCCGAAUGGGGAAACCCAGUGCAAUUCGUUGCACUAUCGUUAACUGAAUACAUAGGUUAACGAGGCGAACCGGGGGAACUGAAACAUCUAAGUACCCCGAGGAAAAGAAAUCAACCGAGAUUCCCCCAGUAGCGGCGAGCGAACGGGGAGCAGCCCAGAGUCUGAAUCAGCUUGUGUGUUAGUGGAACGGUCUGGAAAGUCCGACGGUACAGGGUGAUAGUCCCGUACACCAAAAUGCACAGGCUGUGAACUCGAAGAGUAGGGCGGGACACGUGGUAUCCUGUCUGAAUAUGGGGGGACCAUCCUCCAAGGCUAAAUACUCCUGACUGACCGAUAGUGAACCAGUACCGUGAGGGAAAGGCGAAAAGAACCCCGGCGAGGGGAGUGAAAAAGAACCUGAAACCGUGUACGUACAAGCAGUGGGAGCACCUUCGGGUGUGACUGCGUACCUUUUGUAUAAUGGGUCAGCGACUUAUAUUCUGUAGCAAGGUUAACCGUAUAGGGGAGCCGCAGGGAAACCGAGUCUUAACUGGGCGUUAAGUUGCAGGGUAUAGACCCGAAACCCGGUGAUCUAGCCAUGGGCAGGUUGAAGGUUGGGUAACACUAACUGGAGGACCGAACCGACUAAUGUUGAAAAAUUAGCGGAUGACUUGUGGCUGGGGGUGAAAGGCCAAUCAAACCGGGAGAUAGCUGGUUCUCCCCGAAAGCUAUUUAGGUAGCGCCUCGUGAACUCAUCUUCGGGGGUAGAGCACUGUUUCGGCUAGGGGGUCAUCCCGACUUACCAACCCGAUGCAAACUACGAAUACCGAAGAAUGUUAUCACGGGAGACACACGGCGGGUGCUAACGUCCGUCGUGAAGAGGGAAACAACCCAGACCGCCAGCUAAGGUCCCAAAGUCAUGGUUAAGUGGGAAACGAUGUGGGAAGGCACAGACAGCCGAGGAUGUUGGCUUAGAAGCAGCCAUCAUUUAAAGAAAGCGUAAUAGCUCACUGGUCGAGUCGGCCUGCGCGGAAGAUGUAACGGGGCUAAACCAUGCACCGAAGCUGCGGCAGCGACACUAUGUGUUGUUGGGUAGGGGAGCGUUCUGUAAGCCUGCGAAGGUGUGCUGUGAGGCAUGCUGGAGGUAUCAGAAGUGCGAAUGCUGACAUAAGUAACGAUAAAGCGGGUGAAAAGCCCGCUCGCUCGCCGGAAGACCAAGGGUUCCUGUCCAACGUUAAUCGGGGCAGGGUGAGUCGACCCCUAAGGCGAGGCCGAAAGGCGUAGUCGAUGGGAAACAGGUUAAUAUUCCUGUACUUGGUGUUACUGCGAAGGGGGGACGGAGAAGGCUAUGUUAGCCGGGCGACGGUUGUCCCGGUUUAAGCAUGUAGGCUGAUUGUCCAGGCAAAUCCGGUAAUCAAGGCUGAGGUGUGAUGACGAGGCACUACGGUGCUGAAGUAACAAAUGCCCUGCUUCCAGGAAAAGCCUCUAAGCAUCAGGUAACAUCAAAUCGUACCCCAAACCGACACAGGUGGUCAGGUAGAGAAUACCAAGGCGCUUGAGAGAACUCGGGUGAAGGAACUAGGCAAAAUGGUGCCGUAACUUCGGGAGAAGGCACGCUGGUGUGUAGGUGAAGUCCCUGCGGAUGGAGCUGAGACCAGUCGAAGAUACCAGCUGGCUGCAACUGUUUAUUAAAAACACAGCACUGUGCAAACACGAAAGUGGACGUAUACGGUGUGACGCCUGCCCGGUGCCGGAAGGUUAAUUGAUGGGGUUAUCCGUAAGGAGAAGCUCUUGAUCGAAGCCCCGGUAAACGGCGGCCGUAACUAUAACGGUCCUAAGGUAGCGAAAUUCCUUGUCGGGUAAGUUCCGACCUGCACGAAUGGCGUAAUGAUGGCCAGGCUGUCUCCACCCGAGACUCAGUGAAAUUGAACUCGCUGUGAAGAUGCAGUGUACCCGCGGCAAGACGGAAAGACCCCGUGAACCUUUACUAUAGCUUGACACUGAACAUUGAGCCUUGAUGUGUAGGAUAGGUGGGAGGCUUUGAAGCGUGGACGCCAGUCUGCGUGGAGCCAACCUUGAAAUACCACCCUUUAAUGUUUGAUGUUCUAACGUUGGCCCCUGACCGGGGUUGCGGACAGUGUCUGGUGGGUAGUUUGACUGGGGCGGUCUCCUCCCAAAGCGUAACGGAGGAGCACGAAGGUUAGCUAAUCGGUCGGACAUCAGGAGGUUAGUGCAAUGGCAUAAGCUAGCUUGACUGCGAGCGUGACGGCGCGAGCAGGUGCGAAAGCAGGUCAUAGUGAUCCGGUGGUUCUGAAUGGAAGGGCCAUCGCUCAACGGAUAAAAGGUACUCCGGGGAUAACAGGCUGAUACCGCCCAAGAGUUCAUAUCGACGGCGGUGUUUGGCACCUCGAUGUCGGCUCAUCACAUCCUGGGGCUGAAGUAGGUCCCAAGGGUAUGGCUGUUCGCCAUUUAAAGUGGUACGCGAGCUGGGUUUAGAACGUCGUGAGACAGUUCGGUCCCUAUCUGCCGUGGGCGCUGGAGAAUUGAGGGGGGCUGCUCCUAGUACGAGAGGACCGGAGUGGACGCAUCACUGGUGUUCGGGUUGUCAUGCCAAUGGCACUGCCCGGUAGCUAAAUGCGGAAGAGAUAAGUGCUGAAAGCAUCUAAGCACGAAACUUGCCCCGAGAUGAGUUCUCCCUGAGACUUUAAGUCUCCUGAAGGAACGUUAAAGACGAUGACGUUGAUAGGCCGGGUGUGUAAGCGCAGCGAUGCGUUGAGCUAACCGGUACUAAUGAACCGUGAGGCUUAACCUUACAACGCCGAAG
rnacentral:rRNA from 1 species